rnacentral:rRNA from 1 species
GAACUGAAGAGUUUGAUCAUGGCUCAGAUUGAACGCUGGCGGCAGGCCUAACACAUGCAAGUCGAGCGGAUGAAAGGAGCUUGCUCCUGGAUUCAGCGGCGGACGGGUGAGUAAUGCCUAGGAAUCUGCCUGGUAGUGGGGGACAACGUUUC